rnacentral:lncRNA from 1 species
CGUGUGCUCUUCCGAUCUAACUCUCCAAACCGAAUUGGAGGCGCGGAAAUGCUUCGGCUGUCCACUGGAGAACCCGGAUUGAUCUCGGCCCCCCUCCUUGGCAAAUGUUUAUCAGCGAGUCCGUCCAUUCCCAUAAUCUACCAUCCGGUUGAGCCUGGAUGGCCGUUUCGCUUCUUCACUAAACUACUAGAGAAGGAAAGUAGCGCCACUGCACCGCCUCAGCCGUGUUUGUGCCGACAGCAGUUUUGUCCUCUGCUAGCAAAACAACACAUUGACCUAUCUAAAUCAUUUACGUCAAUUUUUUCGACUCGACUUUAAAAUUUCGCUAUCGCUUUUAUUAUUUUUAUUAAUUUCUUUAUUUUAUGUACCUUUAUUUGUUAAUGC